GGUUAGUCUGGAAAGGAAGGCUGGGUGCAGCAAAUGAAGAGGGCACGCGGGUUUCUGGGUGUUGACAAGGUUCUAGCUGAGUGGCACAUCAAAAGCCGUACCUUUUGGGGUUGCACACUCUGAGGGUUGGCAAGAGAAAGGGGACAGGUCAGAAGAGAAAGGUGAAGAGGAGAGCGCCCUAAUGGAGAAGAGCUCCGUGCGGAUGGCAAAGUGUGGACCGCCGGCGCGGCGCGCGCAGCGCUUCCCGAAUACAAGAGGAGGCAAGUUAACUCCCUGGCCAUAGGAUGAGAGAGCAGUGGCUAGAGAUGGCAAGGGAGAUGUCUGCAGUGCUGUCCUUCAUCACUAUGAACAACCAGUGCUACAGAGUUCAGAUCCGAGAUACAGUCCCCAGUGUAAACAAUCAAUUCAAUCUGUCACACCACAGACAGGUCAGACCGUCGGUCCGUGCCCUGUAAGAAAGGUGGUGAAUGGCCAAGGCCUUACCCGGAACUGUGAGCACGGGUAUGAGAAGAGGUGCACUUUGCCGAAGUCAUCGCCUGUGCACAAGAGCUUUCUCUCGUGAGCCCGGCAGACGGCGUUGAUGUCUGUCCCAUCGGAGCCCUCC
rnacentral:lncRNA from 1 species